GUUGUACUGUCCUAGCUCUAAGAAUAGGUUAGAAAUUAAAAAAAAAAUACAAAUAAUUACAAUAGAUUAUUCUAAAAUUAAUAAAACACCUAAAGUAAACUAAAAUAAAUGAAAUAAAAAAAAUUAUAAUAUAUUAAAAUUAACAUAAUUCAUAUACGGAACCCAAUAUUAAUUAUUUACACAAAGGUCCUCGUAACUAUUGCGCCUACGCAUCUCUAAACGGGUGAACUGGUUUCGCUGCGCGCGACGGUGGUGCCUCGAGUGCAUUCGGGCCGGAGACGCGGCAGACGACCAAAUUGCAUCAGACGUGACGGCUGUGUCACACGUUUUUUUUACUUGACCUUCAGUAUUGCGUACCUGUCUAAUUUAUACUUAUUUGUGCUAGACAAAUUAUAAUCGGAAAUCCCGCUGGGGAUUUAUUUCUACGUUGGAUUUCUACGUUGGAUUUUCUACGUUCGAGUUUUUACAUUCUACUUUAAACCCUCGCUACACAACGUUCUACCUGGCGGCGAGUGAAAGACCAGACCUGAUCCUGUCUGGAACUACCUGGGUCCUGCUGGAGACCUGGAAGUGCAACCUGGGAAGGAGCUGGGCCGUCGUCGGAGCUACACCACGGUUCAGGCCAGUGUUCCCAGUGUACCUUCUACCUCGAGAUCUAUUCGUGGUUAGGGCAACAGAAGUUGGCUUAAAUAAAGUCUCAAUUUCUACCAAA
rnacentral:lncRNA from 1 species